AUACGUAGGGAGCGAGCGUUGUCCGGAAUUACUGGGUGUAAAGGGAGCGUAGGCGGGAGUGCAAGUCAGAUGUGAAAUACAUGGGCUCAACCCAUGGGCUGCAUUUGAAACUGCAUUUCUUGAGUGAAGUAGAGGUAAGCGGAAUUCCUGGUGUAGCGGUGAAAUGCGUAGAUAUCAGGAGGAACACCGGUGGCGAAGGCGGCUUACUUGGCUUUUACGGACGCUGAGUCUUUAAAGCGGGGGGAGCAAACAGGAUUAGAUACCCAGGUAGUCCACGCUGGAAACGGUGAUUACUAGGUGUGGGGGGACUGACCCCUUCCGUGCCGCAGUUAACACAAUAAGUAAUCCACCUGGGGAGUACGGCCGCAAGGUUGAAACUCAAAUGAAUUGACGGGG
rnacentral:rRNA from 1 species